rnacentral:rRNA from 1 species
AGAUUGAACUGAAGAGUUUGAUCCUGGCUCAGAUUGAACGCUGGCGGCAUGCUUUACACAUGCAAGUCGAACGGCAGCGCGGGGCAACCUGGCGGCGAGUGGCGAACGGGUGAGUAAUAUAUCGGAACGUACCCAGAAGUGGGGGAUAACGUAGCGAAAGUUACGCUAAUACCGCAUACGAUCUACGGAUGAAAGUGGGGGACCUUCGGGCCUCAUGCUUGUGGAGCGGCCGAUAUCUGAUUAGCUAGUUGGUAGGGUAAAGGCCUACCAAGGCGACGAUCAGUAGCUGGUCUGAGAGGACGACCAGCCACACUGGGACUGAGACACGGCCCAGACUCCUACGGGAGGCAGCAGUGGGGAAUUUUGGACAAUGGGCGCAAGCCUGAUCCAGCAAUGCCGCGUGAGUGAAGAAGGCCUUCGGGUUGUAAAGCUCUUUUGUCAGGGAAGAAACGGCUGAGGCUAAUACCUUUGGCUAAUGACGGUACCUGAAGAAUAAGCACCGGCUAACUACGUGCCAGCAGCCGCGGUAAUACGUAGGGGGCAAGCGUUAAUCGGAAUUACUGGGCGUAAAGCGUGCGCAGGCGGUUUUGUAAGUCUGACGUGAAAGCCCCGGGCUCAACCUGGGAAUUGCGUUGGAGACUGCAAGGCUUGAAUCUGGCAGAGGGGGGUAGAAUUCCACGUGUAGCAGUGAAAUGCGUAGAGAUGUGGAGGAACACCGAUGGCG